GUGGUAGUAGCUCAGUUGGUUAGAGCACUGGUUUGUGGUACCAGGGGCCGCGGGUUCGAGUCCCGUUUACCACCCCA
rnacentral:tRNA from 1 species